rnacentral:tRNA from 1 species
GCGGACGUGGCGGAACUGGCAGACGCGUAAGGUUUAGGACCUUAUUCUCUUUUUGAGAUUGAGGGUUCGACUCCCUCCGUCCGCA